rnacentral:misc_RNA from 1 species
AUUCUGUUUGUCUUGUGUUUCUUAUGUUGUCUAGUCAUUUUUUUGGGGCUUUUUCCAAGAUUAUCUAAAAAAGAAUUUGGCAUCCUGGAAGAUGAUUUAUUUGUAUGAUGUUCCAUCCUUCUGAAGUUUGUUAAGAAAAGAAUAAAAGGGAAUGUACCUUUUUUUUUCUUCCUUGACUUUAGUUUAUUCCUACCACCUAUGAAGGUGAUACACUUUCUAUUUUCCUUCUUAUGUG